rnacentral:rRNA from 1 species
AGUGAACGCUGGCGGUAGGCCUAACACAUGCAAGUCGAACGGCAGCACAGUAAGAGCUUGCUCUUACGGGUGGCGAGUGGCGGACGGGUGAGGAAUACAUCGGAAUCUACUUUUUCGUGGGGGAUCACGUAGGGAAACUUACGCUAAUACCGCAUACGACCUACGGGUGAAAGCAGGGGAUCUUCGGACCUUGCGCGAUUGAAUGAGCCGAUGUCGGAUUAGCUAGUUGGCGGGGUAAAGGCCCACCAAGGCGACGAUCCGUAGCUGGUCUGAGAGGAUGAUCAGCCACACUGGAACUGAGACACGGUCCAGACUCCUACGAGAGGCAGCAGUGGGGAAUAUUGGACAAUGGGCGCGAGCCUGAUCCAGCCAUACCGCGUGGGUGAAGAAGGCCUUCGGGGUGUAAAGCCCUUUUGUUGGGAAAGAAAAGCAGCAGGUUAAUACCCCGCUGUUCUGACGGUACCCAAAGAAUAAGCACCGGCUAACUUCGUG